GACGAACGCUGGCGGCGUGCUUAACACAUGCAAGUCGAGCGAUGAAGCACCUUCGGGUGUGAAUUAGCGGCGAACGGGUGAGGAACACGUGAGAAAUCUGCCUUCAACUCUGGGAUACCUCCGGGAAACCGGGGCUAAUACCGGAUAUGAGCCUUGAUCGCAUGAUCGGGGCUGGAAAGUUUUUCGGUUGAAGAUGAUCUCGCGGCCUAUCAGCUUGUUGGUGAGGUAAUGGCUCACCAAGGCGACGACGGGUAGCCGGCCUGAGAGGGCGACCGGCCACACUGGGACUGAGACACGGCCCAGACUCCUACGGGAGGCAGCAGUGGGGAAUAUUGGGCAAUGGAGGAAACUCUGACCCAGCGACGCCGCGUGAGGGAUGAAGGCCUUCGGGUUGUAAACCUCUUUCAGUAGGGAAGAAGCGAAAGUGACGGUACCUACAGAAGAAGCACCGGCUAACUAUGUGCCAGCAGCCGCGGUAA
rnacentral:rRNA from 1 species